rnacentral:rRNA from 1 species
UGGGGAAUUGUUCACAAUGGGCGCAAGCCUGAUGACGCAACGCCGCGUGGGGGAUGAAGGUCUUCGGAUCGUAAACCCUUGUCGAACGGAAAGAAUGACUCGCGCCCUAAUACUGCGCGGGACUGACGGUACCGUUAAAGGAAGCCACGGCUAACUCUGUGCCAGCAGCCGCGGUAAUACAGAGGUGGCAAGCGUUGUUCGGAAUUACUGGGCGUAAAGGGCGCGUAGGCGGCCGUCUAAGUCAGACGUGAAAUCCCCCGGCUUAACCUGGGAACUGCGUCUGAUACUGGACGGCUCGAGUUUGGGAGAGGGAUGUGGAAUUCCAGGUGUAGCGGUGAAAUGCGUAGAUAUCUGGAGGAACACCGGUGGCGAAGGCGGCAUCCUGGACCAACACUGACGCUGAGGCGCGAAAGCUAGGGGAGCGAAACGGGAUUAGAUACCCCGGUAGUCCUAGCCCUAAACGAUGAAUGCUUGGUGUGGCGGGUAUCGAUCCCUGCCGUGCCGAAG